rnacentral:rRNA from 1 species
CAGCCGCCGCGGGAAUACGGAGGGAGCUAGCGUUGUUCGGAAUUACUGGGCGUAAAGCGCACGUAGGCGGUUAUUCAAGUCAGAGGUGAAAGCCCGGGGCUCAACCCCGGAACUGCCUUUGAAACUAGAUGACUGGAAUCUUGGAGAGGUCAGUGGAAUUCCGAGUGUAGAGGUGAAAUUCGUAGAUAUUCGGAAGAACACCAGUGGCGAAGGCGACUGACUGGACAGGUAUUGACGCUGAGGUGCGAAAGCGUGGGGAGCAAACAGGAUUAGAUACCCCGUGUAGUCCCUGUCUCUUAUA